AAUGGGCGAGAGCCUGAACCAGCCAUCCCGCGUGCAGGAUGACGGCCCUAUGGGUUGUAAACUGCUUUUGUGCGAGAAUAAUAUGCCUUACGAGUAGGGUAAUGAAGGUAUCGUACGAAUAAGCAUCGGCUAACUCCGUGCCAGCAGCCGCGGUAAUACGGAGGAUGCAAGCGUUAUCCGGAUUCAUUGGGUUUAAAGGGUGCGCAGGCGGGUUUGUAAGUCAGUGGUGAAAUACUGCCGCUUAACGGUAGGAUUGCCAUUGAUACUGCAAAUCUUGAGUAUGGUUGAGGUAGGCGGAAUGUGCAGUGUAGCGGUGAAAUGCAUAGAUAUUGUACAGAACGCCGAUUGCGAAGGCAGCUUACUAAGCCAUUACUGACGCUGAGGCACGAAAGCGUGGGGAUCGAA
rnacentral:rRNA from 1 species